GCCUCUAUAGCUCAGUCGGUCAGAGCGGCGGUUUUGUAAACCGUAGGUCGAGGGUUCGAUUCCCUCUGGAGGCU
rnacentral:tRNA from 1 species